UACGUAGGGUGCGAGCGUUUAAUCGGAAUUACUGGGCGUAAAGCGUGCGCAGGCGGUUCGUUAAGUUCGUUGUGAAAGCCCCGGGCUCAACCUGGGAACUGCAAUGGAAACUGGCGGGCUUGAGUGUGGCAGAGGGGGGUGGAAUUCCGCGUGUAGCAGUGAAAUGCGUAGAGAUGCGGAGGAACACCGAUGGCGAAGGCAGCCCCCUGGGCCAACACUGACGCUCAGGCACGAAAGCGUGGGGAGCAAACAGG
rnacentral:rRNA from 1 species